CAGUCGCCGCGGGAAAACGAAGGGGGCUAGCGUUGUUCGGAUUUACUGGGCGUAAAGCGCACGUAGGCGGAUCGAUCAGUCAGGGGUGAAAUCCCAGAGCUCAACUCUGGAACUGCCUUUGAUACUGUCGAUCUGGAGUAUGGAAGAGGUGAGUGGAAUUCCGAGUGUAGAGGUGAAAUGCGUAGAUAUCGGAAGGAACACCUGUGGCGAAAGCGGCUCACUGGACCAUUACUGACGCUGAGGCGCGAAAGCUAGGGGAGCAAACAGGAUUAGAUACCCCCGUAGUCCCUGUCUCUUAUAC
rnacentral:rRNA from 1 species